rnacentral:rRNA from 1 species
AUUGAACGCUGGCGGCAGGCCUAACACAUGCAAGUCGAGCGGCAGCGGGAAAGUAGCUUGCUACUUUUGCCGGCGAGCGGCGGACGGGUGAGUAAUGCCUGGGGAUCUGCCCAGUCGAGGGGGAUAACAGUUGGAAACGACUGCUAAUACCGCAUACGCCCUACGGGGGAAAGGAGGGGACCUUCGGGCCUUUCGCGAUUGGAUGAACCCAGGUGGGAUUAGCUAGUUGGUGGGGUAAUGGCUCACCAAGGCGACGAUCCCUAGCUGGUCUGAGAGGAUGAUCAGCCACACUGGAACUGAGACACGGUCCAGACUCCUACGGGAGGCAGCAGUUGGGAAUAUUGCACAAUGGGGGAAACCCUGAUGCAGCCAUGCCGCGUGUGUGAAGAAGGCCUUCGGGUUGUAAAGCACUCUCAGCGAGGAGGAAAGGUUGGUAGCUAAUAACUGCCAGCUGUGACGUUACUCGCAGAAGAAGCACCGGCUAACUCCGUGCCAGCCGCCGCAGUAA